rnacentral:rRNA from 1 species
GAGGAAUAUUGGGCAAUGCCCGAAAGGGUGACCCAGCAACGCCGCGUGGAGGAUGAAGGUCGUAAGAUUGUAAACUCCUGUUAGAGGGGAAGAAUAACUAAGUUUGGAGCUUAGUAUGACUGUACCCUCAGAGAAAGCCCCGGCUAACUACGUGCCAGCAGCCGCGGUAAUACGUAGGGGGCAAGCGUUGUCCGGAUUUACUGGGUGUAAAGGGCGCGCAGGCGGAAUGGAAAGUCAGUGGUGAAAUCCUACAGCUUAACUGUAGAACUGCCUUUGAUACUUCCAUUCUUGAGUUCGGGAGAGAGAGACGGAAUUCCAGGUGUAGUGGUGAAAUACGUAGAUAUCUGGAAGAACACCAGUUGCGAAGGCGGUCUCUUGGUCCGAUACUGACGCUGAGGCGCGAAAGCGUGGGGAGCAAACA